rnacentral:rRNA from 1 species
CAGUCGCCGCGGGAAUACGAAGGGUGCAAGCGUUACUCGGAAUUACCAGGCGUAAAGCGUGCGUAGGUGGUGGUUUAAGUCCGUUGUGAAAGCCCUGGGCUCAACCUGGGAAUUGCAGUGGAUACUGGAUCACUAGAGUGUGGUAGAGGAUAGUGGAAUUUCCGGUGUAGCAGUGAAAUGCGUAGAGAUCGGAAGGAACAUCUGUGGCGAAGGCGACUAUCUGGGCCAACACUGACACUGAGGCACGAAAGCGUGGGGAGCAAACAGGAUUAGAUACCCGAGUAGUCCCUGUCUCUUAUAC